AACGAACGCUGGCGGCAUGCCUAACACAUGCAAGUCGAACGAAGGCUUCGGCCUUAGUGGCGCACGGGUGAGUAACACGUGGGAACCUGCCUUUCGGUUCGGGAUAACGUCUGGAAACGGACGCUAACACCGGAUACGUCCUUCGGGAGAAAGUUUACGCCGAGAGAGGGGCCCGCGUCCGAUUAGGUAGUUGGUGAGGCAACGGCUCACCAAGCCGACGAUCGGUAGCUGGUCUGAGAGGAUGAUCAGCCACACUGGGACUGAGACACGGCCCAGACUCCUACGGGAGGCAGCAGUGGGGAAUAUUGGACAAUGGGGGCAACCCUGAUCCAGCAAUGCCGCGUGAGUGAUGAAGGCCUUAGGGUUGUAAAGCUCUUUCGCACGCGACGAUGAUGACGGUAGCGUGAGAAGAAGCCCCGGCUAACUUCGUGCCAGCAGCCGCGGUAACAC
rnacentral:rRNA from 1 species